AGAGUUUGAUCCUGGCUCAGAGCGAACGCUGGCGGCGUGCUUAAGACAUGCAAGUCGAGCGAGAAAAGGGAAACCUGAGUAAAGCGGCGCACGGGUGAGUAAUACAUAGAUAAUCUACCUUCGAGUGGGGAACAACUUUUCGAAAGAAGAGCUAAUACCGCAUAAUAAUCAUUGUCGCAUGAUGAUGAUUUAAAGAUGGCCUAUGCUUGCAAGCUGUUGCUUGAAGAUGAGUCUAUGUCCUAUCAGUUAGUUGGCAGGGUAAUGGCCUACCAAGACUAUGACGGGUAGCUGGUCUGAGAGGAUGACCAGCCACACUGGAACUGAGACACGGUCCAGACUCCUACGGGAGGCAGCAGUCGGGAAUAUUGCGCAAUGGGGGAAACCCUGACGCAGCGACGCCGCGUGGGUGAUGAAGGCCUUCGGGUUGUAAAGCCCUGUCAGGAGGGAAGAACACUUCAAGCAUCAGAUCCUUGAAGAUGACUGUACCUCCAAAGGAAGCACCGGCUAACUCUGUGCCAGCAGCCGCGGUAAGACAGAGGGUGCUAGCGUUGCUCGGAAUUACUGGGCGUAAAGCGUGUGUAGGUGGUAGGGUAUGUCAAAUGUGAAAUACCUCAGCUCAACUGAGGAACUGCAUUUGAAACUACCUUGCUAGGGUGCGAGAGAGGGAAGCGGAAUUCCCGGUGUAGAAGUGAAAUUCGUAGAUAUCGGGAGGAACACCUGAGGCGAAGGCGGCUUCCUGGCUCGCAACCGACACUCAAACACGAAAGCGUGGGUAGCAAACAGGAUUAGAUACCCUGGUAGUCCACGCCGUAAACGAUGGGUGCUAGGUGUUGGAAGUGUUGAUUCUUUCAGCGCCUUAGUUAACGCGAUAAGCACCCCGCCUGGGGAGUACGGUCGCAAGAUUAAAACUCAAAGGAAUUGACGGGGGCCCGCACAAGCGGUGGAGCAUGUGGUUCAAUUCGACGCAACGCGAAGAACCUUACCUGGACUUGACAUCCUACGAACUUUGUGGAAACACAGAGGUGCCCGUAAGGGAGCGUAGAGACAGGUGCUGCAUGGCUGUCGUCAGCUCGUGUCGUGAGAUGUUGGGUUAAGUCCCGCAACGAGCGCAACCCUUGCCCUUUGUUGCCACCAGGUUAUGCUGAGCACUCUAAGGGGACUGCCGGUGUUAAACCGGAGGAAGGUGGGGAUGACGUCAAGUCAUCAUGGCCUUUAUGUCCAGGGCUACACACGUGCUACAAUGGUAUAUACAAAGAGAUGCAAACCCGUGAGGGGGAGCCAAACUCAAAAAGUGUGCCUUAGUUCGGAUUGGAGUCUGCAAUUCGACUCCAUGAAGCUGGAAUCGCUAGUAAUCGCGGAUCAGAACGCCGCGGUGAAUACGUUCCCGGGCCUUGUACACACCGCCCGUCACACCACGAAAGUCUGUUGGACCAGAAGUCAGUAAGUUAACUCGUAAGAGAGACAGCUGCCGAAGGUCUGGCCGAUGAUUGGGGUGAAGUCGUAACAAGGUA
rnacentral:rRNA from 1 species